UGCCUGUCUGCUCUUUUACUUUCACACAUGCAGCUCAAUGCAGGCAACUUGCCGCAUCUCCCCCCCAAAAACUUGCAAACACCACGAUUGUACCACCGCGAUUGAACAUUAUGUUGCGCUGCAGGAUCAUGACACGAGUGGACCCCCCCCCCCCCCCCGAUCUGACAGGAGGAGGAAACUGAUCUGGAUGUGCUUAUUGGAGCGCGCAGGCAGAGCUCUGCGUUUAAUAGCCAUGACCAGGUUCAGUGAAGUACUCUGAUGCAACACACCUCCCAUUCUCUGAUCCUGUGAGAAAACAGAAAAUGGAAAAUGGUGGGCUUCCUUUUAGGAUCAAAGGCAGUGAUGCAUAAAGAAACAUAGGUUUCUGUAGUCCCGCUGCCAGUGUCUUUCUGCAUACUUGCUUCCGUGCUGUUCUUGAGCAUGGAAAACCAUUUGGAUGAGUCGGAUGAUUCCUUCCACCACUAUGAGCCAGUAGUCUGUGGACACGGCCACCCCCACCAGCAGCAGCCCGCAGGCUCCGAACACAGUCGACAGGAUGGUCAGUGCGCGACUGCUGCAC